rnacentral:lncRNA from 1 species
CUGUUUACAAACAAGUAUCAAGGUAAGUUCAUGUAACUUGAAUUAUAUUCAUAAAUUGCUUGAGAUUGUAUGUUAUUGAUGUGAAUAUGAUUUGAAUGUUCAUUGUAUGAAAAUUAAUGAGACAUUGAUAUAUUUGACAAAAUGGGAAGAAAUCCCGGUUGAAUGAAAGGAAAAUUCGAUGGAUCUCUGAAAAGGAAUCGACGGUAAAAAGGAUCUAGCCCGGACGGGUGAUCCUAUCUUGAUAUAGCCCUCCCGAAGAAUAUGUGUAAAAUGGAUUUAGCCCGGACGGGUAAUCCGAAUUAGGGUCUGAAUUUAGCCUGGACUGGUAAUUCAGAUCCAAGCUCAUUAGAGUAAUUGUCGUUGCAGGGGAUUUAGCCUGGACUGGUAAUACCGCUGCAAGGUUGAGGUUCGCGGGAGUGUGCUCUCUGAAAUGGAAAUGUGCGCACAUGAAUAUGAAUUGACGGACCCGGAAUUGUACACUAAAAGUGUACCUCUGAAAAUCUAUUGAAAUUUCGAUAAAUUCAACGGGAUAAAUAUGAAAAAUAAUAAGGGAAUGAAAAUCAUGGUAUUGAUGAGUACAUCAAUCAUGGUAUAUAUAUAUUAUUGAUACAUGGAAAUUAUUGUACUAACUUGAAUGUCGAGUUUGUGCAUGUUAGGGUAAUAAUGCAUUGAAUGGAUAUAUGAAUGUUUAUUAUAUUGUAUUGAAAAUAUUAGGUAAGUAUAAUUCUUGUUACAUGAGCUUACUAAGCACAAAGUGCUUACCCCGUUUCCUUUUUCCCUGUUUUGUAGUGUUAAGAGCUCGGAGGUCGGAUUUGGUCGGAGACACAUCACACUGUCAACCUCAGGAUUUCGGUAUAUAAAGAAACUUUAUUUUGGAAAUCAAUGGCAUGUAUAAGCUAACAAAGUAAAUGUUAAUGUGAAAUGAAUGUAAAGUUAGCCAUUAGUAUGGUUAACAAACCUGGUUAUAGAUAUGUGAUGACGUUAUCUUAUAUAAAUGCAUGAAUCUAUCAUGAAAAUAUGUUGAAUUGAAAAAAAA